GAUGAACGCUGGCGGCGUGCCUAAUACAUGCAAGUCGAGCGAACAGACGAGGAGCUUGCUCCUCUGACGUUAGCGGCGGACGGGUGAGUAACACGUGGAUAACCUACCUAUAAGACUGGGAUAACUUCGGGAAACCGGAGCUAAUACCGGAUAAUAUAUUGAACCGCAUGGUUCAAUAGUGAAAGACGGUUUUGCUGUCACUUAUAGAUGGAUCCGCGCCGCAUUAGCUAGUUGGUAAGGUAACGGCUUACCAAGGCGACGAUGCGUAGCCGACCUGAGAGGAUGAUCAGCCACACUGGAACUGAGACACGGUCCAGACUCCUACGGGAGGCAGCAGUAGGGAAUCUUCGGCAAUGGGCGAAGGCCUGACGGAGCAACGCCGCGUGAGUGAUGAAGGUCUUCGGAUCGUAAAACUCUGUUAUUAGGGAAGAACAAAUGUGUAAGUAACUAUGCACGUCUUGACGGUACCUAAUCAGAAAGCCACGGCUAACUACGUG
rnacentral:rRNA from 1 species